GACGAACGCUGGCGGCGUGCUUAACGCAUGCAAGUCGAACGGAAAGGCCCUGCUUUUGUGGGGUGCUCGAGUGGCGAACGGGUGAGUAACACGUGAGUAACCUGCCCUUGACUUUGGGAUAACUUCAGGAAACUGGGGCUAAUACCGGAUAGGAGCUCCUGCUGCAUGGUGGGGGUUGGAAAGUUUCGGCGGUUGGGGAUGGACUCGCGGCUUAUCAGCUUGUUGGUGGGGUAGUGGCUUACCAAGGCUUUGACGGGUAGCCGGCCUGAGAGGGUGACCGGCCACAUGGGGACUGAGAUACGGCCCAGACUCCUACGGGAGGCAGCAGGGGGGAAUAUUGAACAAUGGGCGGAAGCCUGAGGCAGCAACGCCGCGUGCGGGAUGACGGCUUUCGGGUUGUAAACCGCUUUCGCCUGUGACGAAGCGUGAGUGACGGUAAUGGGUAAAGAAGCACCGGCUAACUACGUG
rnacentral:rRNA from 1 species